rnacentral:rRNA from 1 species
UACGGAAGGCAGCAGUGGGGAAUAUUGGACAAUGGGCGGAAGCCUGAUCCAGCCAUGCCGCGUGUGUGAAGAAGGCCUUUUGGUUGUAAAGCACUUUAAGCGAGGAGGAGGCUCUCCUAGUUAAUACCUAGGAAGAGUGGACGUUACUCGCAGAAUAAGCACCGGCUAACUCUGUGCCAGCAGCCGCGGUAAUACAGAGGGUGCGAGCGUUAAUCGGAUUUACUGGGCGUAAAGCGUGCGUAGGCGGCUGAUUAAGUCGGAUGUGAAAUCCCCUGAGCUUAACUUAGGAAUUGCAUUCGAUACUGGUCAGCUAGAGUAUGGGAGAGGAUGGUAGAAUUCCAGGUGUAGCGGUGAAAUGCGUAGAGAUCUGGAGGAAUACCGAUGGGCGAAGGGCAGCCAUCUGGGCCUAAUACUGACGCUGAGGUACGAAAGCAUGGGGAAGCAAACAGGGAUUAGAUACC